AAUAUGUGACAAUGGGCGAAAGCCUGAUCCAGCCAUGCCGCGUGUGUGAAGAAGGUCUGCGGAUUGUAAAGCACUUUAAGUGGGGAGGAAGGGCAGUAAGGUAAUACCUUGCUGUUUUGACGUUACCGACAGAAUAAGCACCGGAUAACUUCCUUCCAGCAGCCGCGGUAAUACGAAGGCUGCAAGCGUUAAUCGGAAUGACUGGGCGUAAAGGGCGCGUAGGUGGUUUGUUAAGUUGGAAGUGAAAGCCCCGGGCUCAACCUGGGAACUGCUUUCAAAACUGGCAAGCUAGAGUAUGGCAGAGGGUGGUGGAAUUUCCUGUGUAGCGGUGAAAUGCGUAGAUAUAGGAAGGAACACCAGUGGCGAAGGCGACCACCUGGACUAAUACUGACGCUGAGGUGCGAAAGCGUGGGGAGCAAAC
rnacentral:rRNA from 1 species